rnacentral:rRNA from 1 species
CGGACGGGUGAGUAACACGUGGAUACCCUACCUAUAAGACUGGGAUAACUUCGGGAAACCGGAGCUAAUACCGGAUAAUAUAUUGAACCGCAUGGUUCAAUAGUGAAAGACGGUUUUGCUGUCACUUAUAGAUGGAUCCGCGCCGCAUUAGCUAGUUGGUAAGGUAACGGCUUACCAAGGCAACGAUGNGUAGCCGACCUGAGAGGGUGAUCGGCCACACUGGAACUGAGACACGGUCCAGACUCCUACGGGAGGCAGCAGCG